rnacentral:lncRNA from 1 species
GUUUGUAGAUUGGAAGGAGCCAUCUAUAGUAGUUUCUUUAUAUUUAGAUUUACUUUUUGAGAAAAACAUGAACUCUAGCACAAAAAUCAUUUGUGUGGGGGUUUAAUGAUUUUAAACUUAAAGGGUAUAAUAUAGUUAAAUUAUUUCAGCAUUUUCUCUUUUAAUAGUAAAUCAUUAGCAGCCACCGAUUUAUUCUCUGUUUUGUUAAAAGAAGUUUUCUCUGUUUCUCUUCGUUUAAAACCCCGCCCCUUUCCCUUUUCUUUUUAUUACUUUGUUUUCUGCUCUUUUGUUCGCGUUUUCUCGUUGCUGGGUUCAACUGAUUUCCGUUUUGUUGAAUCGCUGAGCUCGUUUUUCAUCGUUUGUUUAUGUGUCCGAGUCGUUCUUCGUUUUUGUAACUGAGUUAGUUGUGCCGAGUUUGUGACUCGGUUGAAUUGAGUCUGUGUUCUGCUGCGUGAUUGCUUUCUUUUGCUGUUAAGAUUCCGAGUUUUGUUUGUUCGUUUUUGCCGAGUCUCGAGUUGCCCUCUGCUCUGUUCUUCAUUUAGUUUGAGUUCGAGUUGUGUGGGUCUGUUUUUGUAUCUUUUGUUCAUUUGGUUGUAAUUUGCGAGUAUGGUAUCUGUUCUAUUCUGUUUUUCACCAAAGCAGUCGAGCCUUGAGCUAGUCGUGCGAGUUCUGUUUAGCUGGGUUCGGAUUUUCUGAGUCUAGUCUGCUGUGUUUUAGUCGAGUCAAACGGUAAACUAUCUGGGUUUCGUUUUCGUUUAUAUAGCUAUGAACUGAGUCUUUUUGUGUGUGAUUAUGUCGAGUAUAGCUGAGUUUUGGGUCAUUUCUGGUUUCAUCUGCUAGUUACUGAGUCGUUCAUCGAGUCGAGUUCCGGCCCCGUAGUAAGUUUGCUGCGAUUUUGUUCGGAGUUCCAGCUAUUUCGGAGUUUUGUUUUUGUAUUUUCUUAAGGCGUUUGUCUUUGUAGAGUCGAGUCUGUUAUUCUGUAUUGUGAAUCGCAGCCCUGAGUUCCAGUUGCUUGUUCUACUAAUUUUGCCAAGUUUAGUUUCCUGAGUUUAGGAUUAGAUUUGUUGCGUCUGUUUGUUUAGGAGCUACUG